rnacentral:rRNA from 1 species
UACGUAGGGUGCAGGCGUUAAUCGGAAUUACUGGGCGUAAAGCGUGCGCAGGCGGUCUUUUAAGUCAGAUGUGAAAUCCCCGGGCUUAACCUGGGAACUGCGUUUGAAACUGGAGGGCUAGAGUGUGGCAGAGGGGGGUGGAAUUCCACGUGUAGCAGUGAAAUGCGUAGAUAUGUGGAGGAACACCGAUGGCGAAGGCAGCCCCCUGGGCUAACACUGACGCUCAUGCACGAAAGCGUGGGGAGCAAACAGG